GAUAUACAAAAGGCAGGCAAAAGGAAUUAGCUUGAAAGGAGAAGGAAAUCUUUUUGAUGUAAUGGGAGGAAGGAAAGAACUUUCCAUAAUUUGUUAAAAGGGAACAAAGAAUAAAGUGUUUAGAAGUGGGAGUUGGAAAAGAAAAACAAAGUGAAACAAGAACAAAGUUUAAACUUCAUUUUGAAGCUAUGGAUAUAUUCUUUCUCAUUGCUCUUUAGCAAAACUUUUUAUAAAGAUGGUGUUAUUUGCUUUUAUAAUGGUCUCAUAGGCACACAAUCGUUUUUUUCUUUCUUUCUUUUUUUUACCAUGAUGGCGAACUUUUUUAUCAUUGCAGCACUAUUGGAGGCACCAAUUAUGUUUAAACUUAAAGUGUGGCACACACACAGACACACUCAGAGAAAG
rnacentral:lncRNA from 1 species